AAAUACAAAUAAAAAAAUCUGAUACAUCUAUUGAUUGCCUAGGUGAGUCCAUAUAUGCUCAAUCAAAUCAUUUUGCAUUUGAAUGUGAGUUGUCCAAUCACAUAUUUCAUGAUGAAAUUGGAUGAAAUCUGCAAACAUUGCCGGUCCAUCAUGCUCAUCCUCUACUAUCGUGUUGUGUAUGAUCACACAAGUAGUCGUCAUAUUCCACAUCUACCACACAAGCAGUCAUCACAUUCAACAUCUUAUGUUGGCUCCAUGUUCUAGUAGGAUGCCGAACAAUAGCCCAUCAAGAUUGAAGCACACCGAAAGCACACUCCACAUCCUUUCUAGCACUCUCUUGUGCUUGGGCAAACCUAACCCGCUUCUCUCCUACCGGCUUAAAGAUUGUCUUCAUAAGUGUUGACCACUAAGUAUAGAUGCCAUCAAGUAGGUAGUAUCCUUUGUUGUAUUCACCUCAAAGUUGAGCUCCGGACAGUUGCCUUCUAUAAGUCGUGCGGACACUGGAGACUGCGGAAACACGUUGAUGUCAUUGUGAGAACCUGCCAUGCCGAAGAAAAAGUGCAAAAUCCAAAGAUCUUGUGAUGCCACAGCUUCAAGUAUGACCGUGCAAGCUUUAACAUGCCCCUUAUACUACCCUGCCAAGCAAAUGCACAACUCUUCCACUUCUAGUAAAUUUAUGCAACAAAACAUCCAUGAAAAGCCCAUGGAUUCAUUGAUUGCCAACAAUCGAGUUGUAUCUGCAGCAUUUGGUUCUCUCAAGUACUCUGGAACAAAUACUGCAAUCACAACUUUGUAGAAUCGGUACAAUGAUGCAAGGCAUGUGGACUCACUCAUGCGGAUAUACUCAUCUGCAAGAUCACCGGGGAUUCCUUAUGCAAGCAUCCGGAUAGUUGUAGUACAUUUCCGAUAAGAGGAGAAGCCAACCCUUCCGAGGGCAUCAUUCUUGUAGUAACCAUACUCCAUCACUCCCUCCCAAAUACAGUUGAACACAUGUCUCGCCAUCCGAAAGCGUCGUCGGAAAAGCUUGGUAUUGAAGAGUGGGGGCGUGCACUGAAAAUAAUCGCUAUAGAAUAGGCAACGGCCGCUCUCUCUAUUAUGAUUCAAUGUCGGAGCAUGGUCCGGAAUCAACCCCAUAAACAUUGGCAGCAUCCUAGAAAUGUGCUCAUUGAUGAUCAUAGUAGCAACCACAAAGUCCUCGUCGUUGGACAAGGAAUCGUCCAACGAAUAUAUGAUAUUAUCGUAGAAGAACUCAUCCGAGCUCUCGACCAUGGUACCUUGUGGCCAAAAGGCUGAACACCUUGCGGGCAGCGAUGAAGGAGGGCGUGGUCGAGCCGCGGCCGAUGAAGGGCAGCAGGUCUAUUGACGCCGUAGCCCUCCGAUGGUGACCAUGGAGGCGAGGGCGGUGCCAGCGACCCUUGGCAGGUGUCCCUUCUCAUGCUACGACGACAACGAUGAGUGGCCACAGACACUGACCUCGGUGGAUGCGGCGGCGAUGGAGAAGUUGGUGGAUGCGCCUGGGUGGUGGUGUUGCAGCCGGAACUGGGUGCCGACAGCGAGGAUGGGGUCGAGAGUGUGGAGGGGGAGGGGGAAGAAUGGCCUAGAUUACUUGGCGCCUUCACCAUGGUCCGUGCACCAUUUUCACACAUGGUAGGUGGCCGGUUUAGUUUUUUUUAAGGAAAAGGUGGGUUGGUUUUUUUUAACACAGUACAGACGCAAACGCUCAUAUAUACACGCGUAGACUCACCCCGAUGAACGCACACAUGCAUACCCUACCCCUAUGAGCACCUCCGAGACACUGAGCCGGCAUAUCAUCUUGAGAUUUUACGAAGUCAUCGUAGGUGCCUCGUAGUCGACGGGGACAUCUCCUCCACCUGAACACGCAUCGCCGAAAAUCCUCGAAUAAAGAAUAAAUGCGAGUGUCCACCUAACCGUCCAAGUUGGUUCCCAGGUGGCCUGGUUUUGUGGAAGGUGUUUUUGCCUCGCGGGCCAUUGCGCGCCCAGAAGGCCCAUAGCUAACCCCGUCUACGCCGCCGAGUGAAAACAGAAAAAGAAAAGGAGAAAGAGAGUACUAUUGCUGGCCAUUGUCGCCGGCCAGGUUCCCCUCCCGGCGGCGGCGCUGCCACCUGAUUCCCCCAGUUCUCCGUCGUUUUUGAGCGUUGACGCAAGCCGAAGCAGCUCCGGCGAACCGAGCGCAGCCGCCCCAUUCCACGCGCCACCUUCUGUUGUUUUGUUCGCAGGGUCGCUCCGGCCACAUAGCCCUGCAGUACCUCGCCACGUUGGGUUUCUGCUGUUCUGCCCACCGGUGCCAUACUGAUGCAGACAUUUCAACUGCAACAGAUUGCCAGAUUGGAAGUAGCAAAAACUAGGUAGUAGUAUCUCAUUACUGUGGUUCACUUUUUACAAACUGCCCGGUUACAGAAUUGCAGCCGAACAAACAAACUUGGACAAAAAAUCUGGUAUGCUUAUAGUAUGAUCUGAACCUGUAGACUUGACAUAUACAACUUGAUUAAGACAACACUGGAAUUUACACUUCUCUUUUGUACAGUUUAGCUAGCCAACUAGUUGUGCCCUCGAAGUUAACCUGAAGACUCCGCACUAUGUGUCAGAUGCCGGUGGAGCGGGUGCCUGCGUGCUGCUCAUCUUGCUUCUCAGCUCCUCAAAGACUUUCAUGCUGUCCGCGUCGAAGCCUCCGGCAAA